AUGUGGAGUGCGUGUUCGUGUAGAGCAUUCAACGGGUCGAUCCAACAAGGGUGGUUCAAAUGGUCGAAUGGACAGAAAAGCAUUCAAUCCGAAUGAUCGUUGUUAUAAAUGCAAUGAAAGAGGCCACUAUGCGUACGACUGUGACAGAUCAGGGUCUCCGCGGCGUCGGUCUAAUUCUCGUGGAAGAAGUCCAGACCGCAGGGGGCGACUAAGGCGAUCGAGGUUGCCAUCUUUAUUUAUUUGUAGAUCUGACAGUAGAAGGAGAGGCCGUGGUCGAUCUUACAGUGAUACUUCUUCAUCUGGUUCGUAUCGUCGGCGCCAUAGAUCUUCUCGUCGUCGUCGAUCUCCUGAGAGCAGGUUUUGUGCCUUUUCAUUCCAGUCGUUCGAGGCGGUCUUCUUCAAGCAGGUCUCCUCGUGGGCGUUAUUGAUUUGUUCUUUCUUUUGUCUGCUUUCUUUCUAAUAAUGCUUCUGUCCUCUUCGAUUAUUCACUUCUUACUUCCUCUAUAUUAUUCUUCGGUAACUUGUAUGUACCCGGCGUUCAUUAACCAUCCACGCAUAAAUGCUGUAGAGUUUUGGCGAUUUCUAUUCACUGUUCAAUAACUGGAUUAUUUGAGCAAUUUGCUGAGACUAAAGUCUGUACAAUGAAGUGCAUUUUUGUGGAUGUGGGUUUUCUAGAUUAUCGAAUUUAGUCGAUUGCUCGUACUGUGAUAAAUUUUUGCGGAUAUUGGGGAUCUUUUUAGGUUUUCUGGAAGUUGGCAGCGUUUUAUGUUCAUGUAAAGAUUUUGUGAAAAGUGAAAUUGUCCAGUAUAUAUUUUCCCUCUUGUGUAACUUGAGAUUGUUUGAGAGAACAUUUGAAAGUGCUGAGGAAUCAAAGUGUAUAUUAUGCUGUGUUGGUAAAUAGUUUAAAGAUUUGUGUCUGUAUAAUUAUGUCGGUGGAAUGGGGGUUCUCAUGAUGUCGCGCUAUUGUUUUCAAAUUGAAAAUUUCUUUGACACCCAUUUAUAAAUGAAAAACGUCUUUGAAUUUUGUGUUGCUCAGAUUUAGCUUCGUUGUGAUAUUGAGAAUCCUUGUCUUGUACAAGAAAAAAAGAUUUUGAAAAUU